rnacentral:rRNA from 1 species
GGGUUGUGAGGUUAAGCGACUAAGCGUACACGGUGGAUGCCCUGGCAGUCAGAGGCGAUGAAGGACGUGCUAAUCUGCGAUAAGCGUCGGUAAGGUGAUAUGAACCGUUAUAACCGGCGAUUUCCGAAUGGGGAAACCCAGUGUGAUUCGUCACACUAUCAUUACGUGAAUACAUAGCGUAAUGAAGCGAACCGGGGGAACUGAAACAUCUAAGUACCCCGAGGAAAAGAAAUCAACCGAGAUUCCCCCAGUAGCGGCGAGCGAACGGGGAGCAGCCCAGAGUCUGAAUCAGCUUGUGUGUUAGUGGAACGGUCUGGAAAGUCCGACGGUACAGGGUGAUAGUCCCGUACACCAAAAUGCACAGGUUGUGAACUCGAAGAGUAGGGCGGGACACGUGGUAUCCUGUCUGAAUAUGGGGGGACCAUCCUCCAAGGCUAAAUACUCCUGACUGACCGAUAGUGAACCAGUACCGUGAGGGAAAGGCGAAAAGAACCCCGGCGAGGGGAGUGAAAAAGAACCUGAAACCGUGUACGUACAAGCAGUGGGAGCAUCC